rnacentral:rRNA from 1 species
UACGUAGGGGGCAAGCGUUGUCCGGAAUUAUUGGGCGUAAAGAGCGUGUAGGCGGCCAGAUAAGUCCGCUGUGAAAUCUCGAGGCUCAACUUCGAGCUGUCGGUGGAAACUAUCUGGCUAGAGUCCGGAAGAGGAGAAUGGAAUUCCUGGUGUAGCGGUGAAAUGCGCAGAUAUCUGGAGGAACACCGGUGGCGAAGGCGGCCCCCUGGACCGGUACUGACGCUGAGGAGCGAAAGCGUGGGGAGCGAACAGG